GCCGGGCCCUGUAGAGGUCACAUAACAGACUUGCAUCUUAUUCGUCAUGUCACACAAUGAGGUUUGUGUCUGAUUGGUUAAUUCUUGGUACCAGAAAUCCUUAUGUACAAGUAUAGGCACCUGAUUUUUUAAAAAAGUCACUUUGGAGCAAA